GGAUGAGAAAGAUACUUUAUACCUGUACAUUACGCUCCUAAGGUUUGCAAGGUAAGUAACAAAGAGCUAAAAAUCAAACUAUACAGCCAGCUAGGUUGAAGUAGGGGAAAAUAUACAGUGUGCUGGUGUCUGUGUUUGUGCAUGUGUUUGGAUCAUAUGUUCCAUAAUAACCUGAAACUAUUUAGUAUUCUUCUGCUUAAGUUUGGUCUGCGAGACUAUACAACAUGUGACCAAAGAGAAAGAUCCUCUUGGAAGAAAGUGAAAAAGGUGAUUUUGUCAUCCUGUCUUUAAUUCAAAAUAAAGGUUAACUUAUAAUCUUUUUCAGUUUUGGUCAGUAAUUUGAUGUCAGUUUCUUGCUCCAGAAAUUGUUGAAUUCGCUUGAGGAGCUAGAGGAGUUAAAUCCAGAAGUUAAACAGAAGAAAUGGAUAUCAAAACAGCGGGCAUGUCUAUGAAACUGGCCAAAGUCCACCUCGUAGAGAUAAAAAGAAAGUUGAAAGUGUGGGGACUUGUAGCUCAAGUACUGGUGGCGAGAAUUUAUCGCGACACCCAACACCAAAGUUUCCCUUUGGUUUCUGUGGUAAUAAGAGAUUAAAGAAAGGUAAUCUCUUUUUACCUUACAUGGUUAUAACUUAUAAGGAAUCCAUGCUAUAUGAUAAAGUAGUAUGGGGUUCACAUCUAAAACCAAUUGGCAAUGGGUGGAGUGGCCCAAACUCUUAUUAACCCACAGACAAGGUCCCAUAUUCCCGAUGUGGGAUAUAUAUCUCAACACGCCCCCGCACGUGUAGCGAAUCUUCAAGUCUAACACGUGGACAACAUUUGGGUGACGUGGAGUUCGUGUGGCCAUUGGGCUUCACACGUGGACGUGGGUAACCCGCUCUGAUACCAUGAUAAAGUAGUCUGGGGUUCACAUCCAAAACUAAUUGGCAAUGGGUGGAGUGGCCCAAACUCUUAUUAACCCAUAGGCAAGGUCCCAUAUUCCCGAUGUGGGAUAUAUAUCUCAACACUAUAUGACCAUUGAACUUGCUCUAGAAAGCCUUAUGGUUUCUGAAACCCCUUGAAGUUUACCCUUUUAUGUAUUUCCAAAGAAGUUAUAUGCAAUUUGAAUAUGAAGAAUAUCUGAUUUUGUGUCUAUCAAGAAAUCCUAUGUUGAGACUGUUGGGUUAUGCGGAAGAAUAAACUGUAGAAUGGAAUCAGAACUCACAACCACAAAUGUAAAAUGUAGCGGAAAGAAAAUGAUAAAGAACACCGGGUAUUAACUUGGUUUGGCAAAGUGCCUACGUCCACGGGGCAAUAACAACAAAGAACCUCCACUAUUCGAAUAAAAGUUACACGGAGAGAAACACUACUUCAAGACUCACUCUUGAAGGGAUACACUCUCACACACACUUUGAUUUGUUACACACACAAACUCUCAACUUGGAGUUUUCUCUCUAUCUCACACUCUUGUAUAGCACAAGGUGAACUCACCGGUUCUUCUAUAUCUUUUGCACCAUUGCAAAUGCCUCUAUAUAUAGGCAAAUAUAUGCAUGCAUUCUUCAUGCACUUUCCAUGCAAAUCCUUCACGUCCAUGCACAAGGAAGAGAAUUCAAACUUCUUCCUUAAUUCAAGCUUCAAUUUUUGUAUGCACCAUCAAUGCAUCUCCAUCAUUUUGUCAAACUUUUCAGCCACCAACAAGCUUACACAUAUAGGCUCUCUCUCUUGCAUUUCAACAUAUACACACUACCAACUUUGCUAUUCAUAUACCAUCUUGCCUCUUGGUUAAUUGAAUGGGUCUUGAGGCUUCACCGAAAAGGUUUUUCACAUGUAGUAAACUACAUGACAUCCUCCUCCAAAUAAGGAGGGAAAUUUGACCCAUCAGAGACCUCCAACUGAGUUUUCUGUAGUACAUAUUAUUACCUCCCAUGAACUCAGGCUUCCUAUCUCAAUAGUCUCUAGCUGGAAGAACAUGACUGGAAGCUUCCCACUCCAUGCAGACCAAUGCCACAGGUAAAACUCACCUACACAAAUCUUAUCCUUCUCUGUCAUUUGUCUAGAGAAGUUUCUAAACCUGCAUGACAGACUAGUUAAAUGUCACUUUCCAUUUAGUAUAUUUUGUACUGUUAUAUAAUAAUCACGCUUUUCCUAAUCUAUUCCUGUAAUCAAAAGUAGAAUGUCGCAAUUGAAACUGUGGAGAUCUCAUCUUGCUGAUCUAAGACACAAAUUAUUGCUAAAUUGAUUAGGUCCAUUUACAUAUGCAUUUACAUUUUAAUUAAGCAAAGCUAGUAAGGUCUCAAGUUGUGAUACUUCUUAUUUUGCUUAUGUACAUGAGCCUCUUUUGUUGACACAGCCUAUGUUAUAUUGAAUGUGGGAAUUUUUCAGGCACCUCCGGCAAUUAACCAGGCCACUGCACCACCAGUUGAAGAAGAUAUAGAGUUGGCCAAGGCUAUUGAUCCCUCCAUUCAGUCUGCUUUCCAGGAGAGGCCACCCUUUUUUGAUCCACUCCAGAUUCAUGAAACAAUAGCAUAAAGUAGUUCUAGCACCUCCAUGGAUAAUGGAGACUUGUCACAACAUGAAACUAGUCCAGGAUCACAUUCACAUUCAAAGAUCCACUUUAUCUCCACCAUUCAAACAUCUACUACCUCAGACUCAAUCCGAGCAUCUCCAACACCUUCAGCUCCACCAGUUUCAGAUGAUUAUCUAGAUGAUCCUUUUCAGUGUCGAUC
rnacentral:lncRNA from 1 species